CCUACGGGGGGCAGCAGUGGGGAAUAUUGCACAAUGGGGGAAACCCUGAUGCAGCAACGCCGCGUGAGCGAAGAAGGCCUUCGGGUCGUAAAGCUCUGUCCUAAGGGAAGAAGCAUGACGGUACCUUAGGAGGAAGCCCCGGCUAACUACGUGCCAGCAGCCGCGGUAAUACGUAGGGGGCGAGCGUUAUCCGGAAUCACUGGGCGUAAAGGGUGCGUAGGCGGCCGAUUAAGCCAGGGGUGAAAGGCUACGGCUCAACCGUAGUAAGCCAUUGGAAAUGAUAGCGUUGAGUGCAGGAGAGGAGAGUCGAAUUCGUAGUGUAGCGGUGAAAUGCGUAGGUAGUAGGAGGAAGACAAGUGGCGAAGGCGACUCUCUGGACUGUCACUGACGAUGAGGCACGAAAGCGUGGGGAGCAAACAGGAUUAGAUACCCGGGUAGUC
rnacentral:rRNA from 1 species